rnacentral:tRNA from 1 species
GGAGGGUACAGCUCAGUGGUAGAGCCCAUGCUUAGCAUGCACGAGGUCCUGGGCUCAACCCCCAGCGCCUCCA